rnacentral:tRNA from 1 species
UGAGGAGUGGUGUAACGGCAACACGCUUGGCUCUGGACCAAGUAAUCCAGGUUCGAAUCCUGGCUCCUCAGCCA